AUUGAACGCUGGCGGCAGGCCUAACACAUGCAAGUCGAACGAGUGGCGGACGGGUGAGUAAUGUCUGGGACACUGCCCGAUGGAGGGGGAUAACUACUGGAAACGGUAGCUAAUACCGCAUACCAUCGGAUGUGCCCAGAUGGGAUUAGCUGGUGGGGGGGGUAACGGCUCACCAGGGCGACGAUCCCUACCUGGUCUGAGGGGAUGACCAGCCACACUGGAACGGAGAAACGGUCCAGACUCCUACGGGAGGAAGCAGUGGGGAAUAUUGCACAAUGGGCGCAAGCCUGAUGCAGCCAUGCCGCGUGUAUGAAGAAGGCCUUCGGGUUGUAAAGUACUUUCAGCGGGGAGGCGUUACCCGCAGAAGAAGCACCGGCUAACUCCGUGCCAGCAGCCGCGGUAAUUC
rnacentral:rRNA from 1 species